GAAAGCGAAGCACAAACCGGAAACUCGCUCUUUGAGCGGAGGCGACAGUGGUGAUCGGACGUGUUUCUCUGUAGUUCGUAUGAAGGCUUGUCUGGGGUUUUCUGCAUGGGUACGAGGUGGCAGCAGUAUCGGAGCAUGUGACAUCCUCGUCUUUGGUACGAGGUGGCAGCAGUAUCGGAGCAUGAGACUUCUCGUCUUUGUUACGAGGAGGCAGCAGUAUCAGGCAGUAGUGUGACAUCCUCGUCUUUGGUACGAGGUGGCAGCAGUAUCGGAGCAUGUGACUUCUCGUCUUUGGUACGUGGUGGCAGCAGUAUCAGAGCGUGUGACAACCUUGUCUUUGGGUUCUGGAGCCAGGUGAAAUUAUCAGAACUCUCUUAAAAGGUGCGUAUUUAACUCAGCUGCUGUUGUAUUGUACAUUUUCUGUCAGCAUUUUUUUAUUGAUUUCAACAUGAAUAUUGUAACUGGAUUACUUUUGUAAUAAAAAAUUUUCAAGACA